UCCUUUUAUUAAUAUUAAUAAACCAUAAAAUCAUUCAAACUUGAAAAAAUCUAAACUUUCCUUGGUCAAUAACAAUAAACCACUCUAUAAAAAAGUAGGUAAUUGACCAUUUACGCAAAAACCGGAAACACGUCAACGAAGCGUAAACCCAGUUCCGGUGUGAGCUUUGUUGGCGGAGAAAUGGCAGCUAGAGUGUUUUUGACGAGCCUGAGUUGUCUUCCGAAGUUCACCAGCGCCGAUGUGGUGAAGAGUGUGGAGAUACAUUCGUCCACUAAAGGAAACAAAUUGGACAAGGGAUAUAAAUUCUUCCACGAAGAGUUUAUCCACAAUUACCAAGAUAUCACUGGAUGCAGAAAGUGCCAACCUGAAAGCUUUCUCCUGCAGUUGUGCGGCUGGUAAAGGAUUCUGCAAUCACAUAGUUGCCAUCCUGUACCAGACCGCACAUUAUUCACAGCUGGGUCUGCAGGCUGUUCCACCCGCCCUGGCCUCCACAAGUGGCUUGCAAAGAUGGCACAGACCAAGAACACAGGGAAUCCAUCCUGAACCGGUUAGUGAGCUGGUGGUGCAAAAGCCCAAAACAGUUGGCAAGGACGGUCUGAGGUCCACACUGUACAAGGCAUAUACAGGACCACUGCCAGAUCCAUAUAUGAUGGCAUCUGGAAGCAAAUUAAGCCAGGUGCAGCCCCAACCUCUCAUGGCUGUUGUAUUGGAUGGGGUUUCUGAGAUGGA
ensembl:lncRNA